GCAUCGUUGGGGUAGUGGUAACCUGGAUCGUUGCCACCAAGAGGUUGAUAAAAAUGGCCAGACCACUUCGAUCCGCCCCGGGUUCGAUUCCCGGACGAUGCA